rnacentral:rRNA from 1 species
GAAAGGAAGAUUAAUACCGCAUAAGAUUGUAGUAUCGCAUGAUAUAGCAAUUAAAGGAGCAAUUCGCUAUAAGAUGGACCCGCGUCGCAUUAGCUAGUUGGUGAGGUAAUGGCUCACCAAGGCGACGAUGCGUAGCCGACCUGAGAGGGUGAUCGGCCACAUUGGGACUGAGACACGGCCCAGACUCCUACGGGAGGCAGCAUG